rnacentral:miRNA from 1 species
UGUGUGUGUGUGUGUAUGUAUGUGUGUGUAUGUGUACACACACACACACACACACACACACACACACA